AUUGAACGCUGGCGGCAGGCCUAACACAUGCAAGUCGAACGGUAACAGGAAGAAGCUUGCUUCUUUGCUGACGAGUGGCGGACGGGUGAGUAAUGUCUGGGAAACUGCCUGAUGGAGGGGGAUAACUACUGGAAACGGUAGCUAAUACCGCAUAACGUCGCAAGACCAAAGAGGGGGACCUUCGGGCCUCUUGCCAUCGGAUGUGCCCAGAUGGGAUUAGCUAGUAGGUGGGGUAACGGCUCACCUAGGCGACGAUCCCUAGCUGGUCUGAGAGGAUGACCAGCCACACUGGAACUGAGACACGGUCCAGACUCCUACGGGAGGCAGCAGUGGGGAAUAUUGCACAAUGGGCGCAAGCCUGAUGCAGCCAUGCCGCGUGUAUGAAGAAGGCCUUCGGGAUGUAAAGUACUUUCAGCGGGGAGGAAGGGAGUAAAGUUAAUACCUUUGCUCAUUGACGUUACCCGCAGAAGAAGCACCGGCUAACUCCGUG
rnacentral:rRNA from 1 species